CCUACGGGGGGCAGCAGUGGGGAAUAUUGGGCAAUGGAGGAAACUCUGACCCAGCAACGCCGCGUGAAUGAUGAAGGUCUUCGGAUUGUAAAGUUCUUUUCUAAGGGAAGAUAAAAGUGACGGUACAUUAGGAAUAAGCCUCGGCUAACUACGUGCCAGCAGCCGCGGUAAUACGUAGGAGGCGAGCGUUAUCCGGAAUGACUGGGCGUAAAGGGGGCGUAGGUGGUUUAGCAAGUCAGUAGAGUAAUUCCAAGGCUCAACCUUGGAACUACAACUAAAACUGUUGGACUAGAGUGCAGGAGAGGCAAGCGGAAUUCCUGGUGUAGCGGUGGAAUGCGUAGAGAUUAAGAGGAACACUAGUGGCGAAGGCGAGCUGCUAGACUGUAACUGACACUGAGGCACGAAAGCGUGGGGAGCAAACAGGAUUAGAUACCCGUGUAGUC
rnacentral:rRNA from 1 species